CAGUUAAACCGUCAACGUUUAAAAAACAUCUGUUUUCGGAUUCUGGAGCACCAACCGUACACAGUCACACUGCGUGAUCGACAAAGAAGAGCUUUCCCUGUUCACUCAGGGACCGACGACCUGAGGCUGGGAUCCCAGAGGCGACCUUGCGGGAUCCUGACAGCUCCCGGAAGGCGUGCACUGCCUUUGAGAAACAGUUCAGGCUUUCCUCGCAGGGCUGACACUGGCCUUCUUGGGGUUCUAGGACCCCGUGGAGAAUACCCCCCAACACCCGGACCCGGGGAGUGGCUACGGGCGCGGGAGGAAAGCGGAGCGCAGAUGCCUUCGGCCCGAGGCUGCGCUCGUCCCCUGCAGGGGGCGGGCGACUCUUGCGGCAGGAGGAGCAGGCCCGGAAGCCCUCGGAUCUGCGUGUGGAGCCAGGGUCCGAGCGUGGCCGCCGAGAUGACUGUGAGCCGCAGUGUCUCCCGCUUUCAUCUCCGGAAUGCGCGGGGCAGCACACACGAGGCUUGAGGUUGUCCACAACCCUGAGGUGAGGGGAUGGUGCUCUCCUGACCCUGAGACUUCUGGGAAAGAGACAUCAAGAACUUGAAGCUAGAUUUAUUGGACUGUUGAAAUACUGACAGAGGUAACCCUGCUCCUGGUAUUCCUAUGACAGAUAGGCCAAGCUUCAACUGCUGAAGAACCCAAAACUCACAGCAAGGGUGGGACCUUCAUGGUUGAUCCUAGACCAAAUAAAAAUGGGAAAAAAGAGACUUGAAAUUUUCAUUGGAUUGAAACAUUAGGUAAUGGAUCUUUCCCUUAUUUUCUUGUGGCAACAGGAGGAGAAAUUGCAUUCCCAAGACUUUAUUUGGGAACUUUUUUUUUUGUCUUUGUUUAUUUGGGAACUUAAUAGUAGUGGCUAAGAUGGGUGUGGUGGCACAGGCCUACAAUCCCAGCAGGCAUUACAGUCCCAGGAAGCUGAGCUAAAAAGACCACUGGAAGUUCCAAGAGGCCAGAUUGAGUGAGUUCAAGGCCAGUCUGGACUUCAUACUGAGACCCUGCCUUAAAAAACCAAAACAUGAAAAAUACAAUAAUAAUGACAAUUCUGCUGCUCUGGUAGAACUGUUUGGCCUGUGCUGGUAUGUGCUACUUGUUAUAAAACCUUGUCUUGUGAGCUGAGGUGAGUGAGCAGCUAAAGAAAACUUGUCAUAGAGUAUCCUUUUCUUUCUUCCCUCAAAUUUUCCAGAUGUUUGUCUGCUCUCAGCUGGAAGCUCACAGAUACUAAGAAUACAAUAACAUAAUUUGUCAUACAUUUUGAAAUUCUGCUAUGGCUGCGACAGUAUGAAAACAUCAGUUACAAAACUUUCUUUCAGUGAAGUUGGAAAUUUCAGCCUAGUGUUUAUAAUAUCUGAGGGAAAAAAAGAUUGAACCAAAUAAUACGUAUAUACACAUUUAAAUAUAAAUCUUUUGUUCUGACAUGCAGUUCUACAGAUAAUAAACAGAUAUGUUCAAAAUAAAUAACAAAAUACAAAGCCUUUUUGAAAAAAAGUACUUGACAGGCAUGGUGGUGCACGCCUGUAAUCCCAGCACCUGGGGAGGCUGAGCCAGGAGAAUCACGUGAGUUGGAGGCCAGUUAUUUUGUUUUUGUUUGUCUUUUUGAGACAGGGUGUUGCCGUGCAGUUCAGGCUAGCCUUGGACUCACUUUGUAGCCCAGGCUAGUCUUGAACUCACAAUGAUCCUCCUACCUCAGCCUCCUGAGUGUUGGGAUUACAGGUGUGUGCCACCACCACAGGCUGGAGGCCAGUUUGGGCUACAUAGUAAGUUCAAGGACACCCUGAACUACAAUAGUGAGACCGCUUCUCAAAAAAAAACAAACUUGGCACCCAAACAAAACUAAUGAUGAAAUCAUUUCACAAUGAAUACCUCAAGAAUGAUAGAGCUGUAAAACCCACAAAAUGAACCAUAAUGUAAACAAUUUUGCUAAUAAUAAUGUGUCAAUACUGAUUCAUCAGUUGUAACAAAUAUACCACACUAAUGAAAGACCUUAGUAAUAGGGGAAGCUAGGAGUGUCGGGGGAGGGAGUAGAUGGGAACUCUGUAUUUUCUGUUCAGUUUUUCUGUAAACUGAAACCGCUCUAAGAAAUAAAGUCUGUUAAUACUUUUUAUAUAUUAAGAAUGAAAAAGCCGACUCCCUGCCUCGUAGGCCCCGGAAGGAGG
rnacentral:lncRNA from 1 species